rnacentral:tRNA from 1 species
CGGGGUGUAGCUUAGCCUGGUAGAGCGCUACGUUCGGGACGUAGAGGUCGUCAGUUCGAAUCUGACCACCCCGACCA